UGGGGAAUUUUGGACAAUGGGGGAAACCCUGAUCCAGCCAUCCCGCGUGUGCGAUGAAGGCCUUCGGGUUGUAAAGCACUUUUGGCAGGAAAGAAACGUCAUGGGUUAAUACCCCGUGAAACUGACGGAACCUGCAGAAUAAGCACCGGCUAACUACGUGCCAGCAGCCGCGGUAAUACGUAGGGUGCAAGCGUUAAUCGGAAUUACUGGGCGUAAAGCGUGCGCAGGCGGUUCGGAAAGAAAGAUGUGAAAUCCCAGAGCUCAACUUUGGAACUGCAUUUUUAACUACCGGGCUAAAGUGUGUCAGAGGGAGGUGGAAUUCCGCGUGUAGCAGUGAAAUGCGUAGAUAUGCGGAGGAACACCGAUGGCGAAGGCAGCCUCCUGGGAUAACACUGACGCUCAUGCACGAAAGCGUGGGGAGCAAACAGG
rnacentral:rRNA from 1 species